GGGGGGGGGGGGGGGGGGGGCGGGGGGGGGCGGGGGGGGGGGCGGGGCGGUGGGCGCGGGCGCGUACGGGGGGCUAGGGGCGGACGGGUGAGGCAUACCUCGGCAGCGACUCUUUCGUGGGGGAUAACGUAGGGCCACUUAUGCUCAUACCGCAUACGACCUACCGGUUAAAGCAGGGGAUCUUCGGACCUUGCGCGCUUCAUUGAGCCUGUGUCGGAUUAGCUAGUCUGCGGGGUAAAGGCCCACCAAGGCGACGAUCCGUAGCUGGUCUGAGAGGAUGAUCAGCCACACUGGAACUGAGACACGGUCCAGACGCCUACGGGAGGCAGCAGUAGGGAAUAUUGGGCAAAGGGCGCAAGCCUGAUCCAGCAAUGCCGCGUGGGUGAAGAAGGCCUUCGGGUUGUAAAGCCCUUUUGUUGGGGAAGAAAAACAGCGGGAUAAUACCCCGAUGUUCUGACGGUACCCAAAGAAUAAGCACCGGCUAACUUCGUG
rnacentral:rRNA from 1 species